UAACCAUCGUAACUGGUAUGAGGUGAUAUUUCAUUGUUGUUUUGAUUUGAAUUGCCCUCAUAAUUAGUGAUGUUGAGAAUCUUUUCUUAGACUUUCUGGCCUCUUAAAGGAGAGAUCGUCAGGAAGAAGAUAGGAGCAAUCAGGGCAUUGCAAGUCUUGAUUAUACAAAGACAUUAAUCAUGGGAACUCAAAUCCUCAUGUUCCAAGCCCUCCCCCAAAAAGAAAGAACAGGACUGAAAUCAACAUCUUUGAACGUGAAAUCUGGGGCAAGUGUGCAUGCUUUCUCAUAGGAAAGAUGUAGCAAAGUACAAGCUUGAUUAAAGCAGAUAAAGGGCUGAGUGUGGACACGUCUGGAAAAGAUGCUCCAGGAGGUAUCUCCAACUCCGUGUCCUCCGAGUGUCCUCCGUGUUUCCUGAGGUCCUGGCACACCAGAGGCCAGAUGCCCCAUGGCUGUAUUCGGCAGCCUCUAUCGCCACCAGGUAUCUCUUAGGGUAAGAGGUUGACGCGGAAUGCAGACACGAGUAGGGCGGAUGGAGAAUCUGUCACAUUGGCACGGUUUAUUAAAUUGACCAUGGAUGACAGGGAUACGUGGAAUCCGGAGCUCCGUCUUUAUGGUUGUAAUAACCUAGAGUUGAUGUACUUGAAAAAAAUAUUCGGUGCUAGCCGUCCCCGGGUUAUCACGUGAUCUGUAGCACAGUGCAAAUCACUACCCACUGGUGUAGCAUGGGGAGGAUUUGUGUUUGUAAGUUGCAUAUCUAGCCUAAGUGGCAACUGAGUGAGAGUAAUGUACAGUGAAGGGGACAAGAAAUUAGGUUUACUUGCCUGUAUUAGAAAUUUAAUAGAUGUUGUAUAUUCUCCUGUUAACAGUUUUUCCCCUUUUGUGACUGCUGCUUCGUCUUUUUCCACCAAUUGUAACACACGUUCUUCCUUGCCUCUCCUUCCACAUUUGCAUAAGUAAGUCUCAUAUCCACAGUCUUUAUAGAGCUCUGCAUUUUAUUUUCAGUCACUGCAUCUGUCAGAAGCAUAUUAUUACCAGUUGGCCCAACCAGCUGCAAUCGACCCCAGACAUUGUGUCCUUUAAGGACAGAAAACUGGACACUGGUGGUCACGAAUAAUUGUAGAAGUUACAGCCUCCCUAUUUAAAAGCUUUUCUUUUGAAAUAAUGUAAGGCUUACAUAAAAAUUGUGCAGGGAGUUCCUGUGGCUCUUACAGCAAAGUUCAGUCGAACAAAACUGUUUACAUUGUGAUAGUUCAUUUACCAGAAUUCAUAAAUUUACAUUGAUAGAGUAGUAUUUAACUGCAGUCAAAUCCGGAUUUCACCAGACUCAAACAGGCAGUCGCUCCUUUUUGUUAGGUUUUGUUUUCUUUGGUAUGGUACAUAACUAAAGACACUUUUUUCACCUGUAUAAAUCUGUAUGAAUCCUACCAGAAUACAGACACAGAAAUUCCUAAGAAACCCAGAGAAACUCCCUAUGUUCCUUCUUUUGGGGGUUUAUUUUAUAUUUUUUUAUCAUGAUAAGUGUACUCUUUAAUCCCCAUCCUCUAUUUCUUCCA